UUAACCAGGUAGCGUCGCCGUGAGCUCCGGGAAACUUGAGCCGAGUCUUCACGACUUAAACCUGUUGAGUUGAUUUUUGGGGUUCUUCGCCUCCUCGUUGGGUGUCUAGUCAAGCCGAGCUAAUUCACAUCUUUUUCCAAGCAAACAUCGAAGAGUUGGUCUCUCUGUGAGAGGAGGGAAGAGGAAGACAUAUCUAUGAGGCAGCAGCCAGCAGCCACAGCCAGGCAACAUGAUGCCUCUUUCUGGCCCACUUGACCACACCUGGGAAGGACAGGGCCUGCAGCCCUGGUGUAUAAUGCUGAUGAUUAACUAAAUAGAGGCUGCAGCAGUCUGUGAGAGCAGGGCGGCUUAGCUUUCUCAUUUCAUGGGCCCUGACUGACUGACCGGGAAGAAGCUGAAGUGUUCGCAGGCGCUGGCUGCUAAAAGUUCAAGAUCUUUUCCUUUAACCCCCCACCCCCUUCACUAACUUGGUUUUGUUGCAUUCUUUCCUUUUGGGUUCCUUUUCACGACGGUAAGGUUACAGGUACAUUCUCCACCUCUCUUCACUGCCUGUUCUUUUCCCUCCCUUAUGCUCUCUCUCUCUCUACCUUUCUCAUUCACUCACACUCUUCCAUUUAGCUCAUUUGCAGGAUGACGGGAAACCUAUUCUUUCCCUCUGAACACAGGAUUGUCUUGAUUCUAGUUUUGUUUCAGGUUUAGAGAAAAAAAUAGCAAAAAAAUAGUUAACAUUAAUAGAUAUCAAUAUUAGUGUAACUAUUGCUGACUUACUGUACCAAGUCUCAAUAAAAUUAGAACGAGUUAUAGCAGUUAUUUGACAAUGCACAAUGCAAAUAGUUUGUUGCCACUUUGAUUGUUGAGUUAUUGUACAUAUUUGAGUGGCUGAUCAGUCUUGUGUCACUAUUUUAAGUGGCUAACUAACUAAGGAAUACUAGUAUAUAUUAUAUAUGAGUCUUUAUCUUACAUAAAUAUAAAUAAUUAGCAUGCAGCAUUGUGCCACUUCUAAUGAGUGUGAUGCUUUCACACUGUGUACCUGUGAAUAGCCCACGUUUUUCAGUAAACAAAAGCUGUCUCAAUGACCUUCUGCACACACUGCAUAGGCACAGGCUAGGUCAGUCCAGCGUUCCUCCAGGCUUUCAACACACUACAAACACAAAGAAAGGAGGUACAGGAAAAGGGAAGGCAUUCAUUUCCCCUUCGUUUUCAACAUUUCAUCAAAUGACUGUUGAAAUGAAUAUGACAUGACAUACAUUGUGCUACCUGUGCUACCAUCUUCAGGGACAUGAAAUGUGAAUACGGAACAACAAACCCAAGGCCUUGUUGCUUUCGUUUUGAGUAUGAAAAAUGCAGUGGGUUUUGUCAAGAAUGGAUGUUAUUAAAGCAGUGGUCCAAAAAAUACCCAAUUGUCAUACUUGAGUAAAAGUAAAGAUACAUUAAUAGAAAAUGACUGAAGUGAAAGUCACCCAGCAAAAUACUACUUGAGUAAAAGUCUAAAAGUAUUUGGUUUUAAAUAUACUGAAGUAUAUUUAUUUAAGGAUUGCCAGGGGCACAAUCCAACACUCAGACAUGAUUUACAAACAAAGCAUUUGUGUUGAGUGAGUCCGCCAGAUCAGAGGCAGUAGGGAUGACCAGGGAUAAUAUAUAUAUAUAAUUUUCAGAAUGAGGGGAAAAAGCAGCCUUACCGUUUCGUAGAACCAGACCAGUCAGAACAGGUUUGGCCAAUCAUUAACAUCCACUGUGGCCCACUCUUCUGUGGCAGAACCUAACCUACAGUCCCUACCAGAACAAAGUCUGCCGUACAACAAGUUCUAUUUUUUUUGUUUCGAGGCGAGUUUCAAAUACGUUGUUUCCCCCCACUUCAUCUCUUGUUUAAGACCUGGGGGUUAGGUGAUAAAUUGAACUUGCUAUUGUUAGUUUGAGUUUGAGAUAGUAGAGUCCACCCAUAGUAGAGUCCACCCAAGGCCACAAUUUGUUGAGUUAACUGAAGUGGAGUUCUAAUGGAUAUUGAUGAUGAGUUGCAUGUGUGCCUGGAGAGGGGGUAUACUUGAUUUUAUAUUAUUAUAGUUUCUCCUUUCUGUGGUAAAUACAGAUGUAGCUUCAGAGAUGUGAAAGACAGGCCUUCUAAUGAUAAUUUGCAUUACCAGUCAGGGUUGCCUACUGUUUAGUACACCUCUUUCUUUUCAUAGUGGAAUGUUCCUGAAGUCUCAGUUAUGCACAUAGGUGGGGCUUAUCCCCACACAAACCUACCCAAAGCAAGGUUAGCCUUUUAUCAAUUUUUUUGUCAGUGAAAACCAGGAGAUAACACAACACAUUAAACAAAAUGAACCUGUAUUGUAAAAUGCUUAGACGAAAAUAUUAUUACUUCGAUCCGUACACUUAUUGUGAUCUGUAAAAUAAUCACUUUUAUGACCCAUUGUUUGUCUCCUAUGCAUGUAUUGGAUGGUCAUCCCCAUCUUACAAGGCAGCAUUGGAUAUCAUCAAUCUCUCUAAUACUGCCUGGUAAUGAUGAUGCUAGCCAUCCUCUAACUACAGUGAUAUACCACACAACUUACAACGUUAGCUAGCUACCAUAGCUUGGCGGCCAUUUUUUCUCUCAAUGAAAUGCUCUGGUUUACGCUGAAAUGGCUUUCAGGAUCCAUCUUACCUGACAGUGCUGGAUUGUACCAAAAAGUUCUAACACUGUCUGGUAACGAUGUUUCCUGGGUGACCCACCUACCUCCAGAGAUACACCUCAGCUAAGGAUGUGCUUAAAGGGUCAGGUGUGACCACUUGAUGAAAGCACACCAUAGACAAUACCUGAUCAGAUUAUCUGUAGUGUUAGAACUCCAGUUUGAACUCUGUAUCUUUCUUCAAGGAUUUGAUAUCUGAUAUCGUCACUGAUAAGAAGACUUGGUUUAGGGUUGAAUCUAUCUGUAAGAGAUUGUCUUAAAUCUUCUUCUAUUGACACGCCUUUAUUCCGCUAGCUAAAACUAUACAUCUGAAAGAAGCUCCAUUUUACCUCGUUGUUUAUUUGUAGAAAAGAUAGGCCUAUGAAGUGCUUAUUUUGUGAAUUGUAUUGGGAAAAUAUUUGGCUAUCCAAGUAAUUGAAAUUUCUCAGUGUUCCUCAGUUAAGAAUCAACUCAAAGAAAUGGAGAAGAUUAGAGGCAUGACUGGCAAUGUCCUUUCCCUGGGGAACAAGUAGAGGAGACCCAGCAUAUGUAAUUCCACUUCCCUGUCCUGUUCUAGGGUAGCCCCACCCAACCUGUGUUAAAGAAUACAGGUCGGUUGACGGUUCAACCGGUCGCACCGCCACUCAUUUUCGUAUCACCUCCCCUCUGUAGCGUGUGGCUUGUGUUGUGUCACCGUGAUUGGUCCAGCACCGCUUAUCUACAUGGCACAUCCUGAAACUGACACAAGCUCACCUGAGCACUUAUGAUCAAAAUAGACUCAGCAACAUCCUCCUUGACUCCUUACUACUCCCCUUCAGCCUCACCUCUCUCUCAUCCCUUCAUAUGAAUGAUUACUCUUUUUUAUCACAGCUAAAUAUAUCCCACAGCUCUAUCUGUAGUGCCUUUUGUUGUUUUACAAGGCUUCAUUGGAGAACUUUUGUUCCAAUUAGAAUUUUAGAAUUCUGUUGAAUUUGUUUCAUAAACAAAUUAUAAAUAGCCAUAGACUUAAAUGAGUUGAUCUCUUAUGGCAAACUACUACCCCGUUCCAUGUCGUCUUCCAGGCAGAAAAAUACAUCCCAAUUUAAUAGGUAAGGCCUUCAAACAGACAGCACAGACAUUGGCAAAUAAUAAAAGGAGCUGGCAGAGCCUAAAUGUUUGUUUAAGGAGGGAGAAUUACCUCGCAAAUAUUGAACCAUACCUUUAUUGGCUCACCUCCUGUUGUUUGCCUUUAUUUAUGACAUAGACACACAGAAUGGUUCAAUGUUUUUUCCCUUUUCACCCCCUCUCCUUUCCAAACGGUUAAAAAGACAAUUUGAUGUUGUACUGAACCCAAAUGUGGCAUAUUUAUUUAAUUUGCGGUGAGAGGGCACCACAUUUUGAUGUGAACUUUCAACCAACAGGAUCUAGUUUGUCUUUAUUCAUGGAAAAUCAUUGUAAAUGUACUCCAUAUAACAUAGUCUUUGAGAAUAUGAAAACGAUAGAGUAGUAUCCCUGUCUGUGUGUGAGACAGACAAACAGACGAACAGACAGACAGACAUACUGUAUCUUUUCAGCCUGUCUCUUCCUGUAUCUCAUCCUGUCUCUUUCAGCUGUCUCCCUCUUCGUACAGUGGACGGUUGGUUCAGAGGGCGUCCUUCAGUCCUAGCUCCCUAGCCUGUUGAUUGGCGUCUUACCAGACAUGGUUAGAUCUAAAUAUCCCUGUCUAAUACUGUCUGGUAAUGCCGUCCAUUGAAUGGCGUUUACUUCUCUUUUUCCUCUCUCCUUCUUGUACAGAAGUUUGAGCAUGGCCAUCAGAUUUCUUGGUGUGUAUGACCUCUUAGGCUUCUUCUAUGUUAAUGUGUGUAUACAGUGUGUUUGUGUGUGUAUAUGACCAGUGCAUAGACACAUUGGUUGAAGUGACAGAUGGAUUGGGGUGUAUUCACUAUGGUCAUGAAGAUACUGACAAUACAGGAACUAUGAACCUUGCACUGGAAGAUUGAUUCAGUUAUCAGUGCUCUUCCAUGUGCCAUGUGUCAGAGUUUAUUCCUUAAGCAACGGCCCAGGAAGGCCAAAGAAAUACAGCAUUUUGGGAUAUACACAUAUGUGAUGCCAUAAGUAGUAAUUAAAGUAAUUAAAAUGCUUUAAAGUAAUUAAAAUGCUUUAAGGUGCUUUUAAAUCUCGCUCUGUGUGUGUGUUCAUAAAUAUACUGUAUCAAAUAUUUUAUAUUUAAACGGAUGUAAUAUUAUCUUCAUGUAAUAAAGCAUUUAGAACAUAAUUUAUUCAACUUUUAAAAGAAAGAUGUGUGUGUUCGUCACGGCGUCAUGGUUACUAAAUUCCAAAUAGGAACAUUGUCGGGAAUUUGACAUUUCUCCAGGUACAGUAAAUUAAAAAACUAUAAAUGAAUCCAUUAUUGAUCGAAUUUAUCUAUAAAUACUGUCUAUACUACAGCCAAGCGAUAGAUACACAUAUAUAUUUUCACCAACAUUAUGUAAUAUGACAUGACAAUAUCAAAUAAACUUGAAAUAAAACAAUAUUUGACUUUG